rnacentral:rRNA from 1 species
AAUAUUGCACAAUGGGGGAAACCCUGAUGCAGCAACGCCGCGUGAAGGAUGAAGGUUUUCGGAUCGUAAACUUCUAUCAGUAGGGACGAAAGAAAUGACGGUACCUAACUAAGAAGCCCCGGCUAACUACGUGCCAGCAGCCGCGGUAAUACGUAGGGGGCGAGCGUUAUCCGGAAUUAUUGGGCGUAAAGGGUGCGUAGGCGGCCUUUUAAGUCAGAUGUGAAAGGCUACGGCUUAACCGUAGUUAGCAUUUGAAACUAAAAGGCUUGAGUGCAGGAGAGGAGAGUGGAAUUCCUAGUGUAGCGGUGAAAUGCGUAGAUAUUAGGAGGAACACCAGUGGCGAAGGCGACUCUCUGGACUGCAACUGACGCUGAGGCACGAAAGCGUGGGGAGCGAACAG